rnacentral:lncRNA from 1 species
GAUGUUUCAAACAAUAACUCAAUUCUUUUCAUUGCACAUUCUUUGUUGGCGCGUUUGUGUGGUGUAAAGAUUUGAGUUAUUCUGAAUUUUUAAUGAAUUAAUAAUUUGAUUUGCCAUCUUCAAAGAAAAAAAGUAGAUAUAUUCAAAACUUAAUCUUUUAUCUUCAAUUUUUAAAUCAUAAUCCAUUGUACAGCAUUUUGGACCAUUAAGAGCUGGACAAGACAACCAAAGCGGGUUAUGGUGCUGAAAGUACCAUUAUUGUAAACUGGACUUCUACAAUCCAUUUGAGGGUGUAGUAAUAUCUGCUACUAUUUCCUCCCUAAGGGCGUUGUAACGGACAUAAAUUAAGGCUUAGAAAUAAGAAUGUCACAACAACAGUGAUGUUGUCUACACAUAGAGGUAGCGGGAAAGUAUAGGUCCUAUUUGUAGGGACAGACAGUGCCACUCUGCACGUUAAAGAACCCUUGUCACAACUCUUUUGAGGUGUCAGUAGGAUGUGGCUUGUUGCAUUAAUAGGCUAAAUUUCUGUCCAAAAAUAUCCUCCUCGGUUGGCAGUCAAAAUUCCCCCUCCCUUCACCAUAGGAUUGGACCACUUUAUAGAACCUACAAAUUGAUUUGUUGUGAUAUCAAGAGAUGUGAGACAACUAUCCUACAGAGACCAAAUGAUGUUAAUGUAAAAUAGGUUACUGUAUGGGCUUCAACAAUGAGAAAAUCCACUAACAUUAAAAUUGUGCAAUAUUCUGAUUUAGAAUGACUUGUUUAUACCUCCAAACUUUAACAUCUGAAAUUUUUUAUUAUCUAGAGCUCUGUAAAAAAAAAAAGAAAAAUAUAUAAAAAAGAAAAUACCAAAAAAUAAUAUGAAAGCAAAAUAGAAAACAGAGUUCUAGAUAAUAAACAUUGAGGGUGGGAUUAUUUUGAUAUUUUUAUGACCCCCGCCUUUAAGUCUUCUAAAGUUAUCAUAUUUAAAACAAAACAAAAAUUGGAAUGGCAGUUUAAAAAGUAUAGGUCCUUUCUGUAGGGACAGUGCAACUCUGCAUGUUAAAGAACCCUUGCCACAAAUCUUUUGAGGUGUCAGUAGGAUGUGGCUUGUUGCAAGGCUAACUUUCUGUCCAACAUUAUCCUCCUCUCUAUGAAUUAAUAAUUAGAUUUGUUAUCUUCAAAGAAAAAAAAGAAAGUAUCCAAAACUUUUAAUCUUUAAUCAUUUGCAACACAGAAGUUAUUAAUGUCUUCCAAAGAACUUGUCCUUAGUGUGUUCCAAAGAAAACUUGUCCUGAGAUCUGAAAAUUGCUGUUCAGAUAAAAAGCAAUGUGUGAAACUUUAAUAUUUUUGAUGUUUCAAACAAUAACUCGAUUCCUUUCAUUGCACAUUCUUUGUUGGCGCGUUUGUGUGGUGUAAAGAAUUGAGUUAUUCUGAAUUUUUAAUGAAUUAAUAAUUUGAUUUGCCAUCUUCAAAGAAAGAAAAAGUAGAUAUCCAAAACUUAUCUUUUAUCUUCAAUUUUUAAAACAUAAUCCAUUGUACAGCAUUUUGGACAAUUAAGAGCUGGCAAGACAACCGAACCGCGCAAUGGUGCUGAAAGUACCAUUAUUGUAAUCUGGACUUCUACAGUCCAUUUGAGGGUGUAGUAAUAUUUGCCACUAUUUCCUCCCUAAGGGCCUUGUAACAGGCAUAAAUAAAGGCUUAGAAAUAAGAAUGUCACAACAACAGUGAUGUUGUCUACACAUAGAGGUAGCGGGAAAGUAUAGGUCCUAUUUGUAGGGACAGACAGUGCCACUCUGCACGUUAAAGAACCCUUGUCACAACUCUUUUGAGGUGUCAGUAGGAUGUGGCUUGUUGCAUUAAUAGGCUAAAUUUCUGUCCAAAAAUAUCCUCCUCGGUUGGCAGUCAAAAUUCCCCCUCCCUUCACCAUAGGAUUGGACCACUUUAUAGAACCUACAAAUUGAUUUGUUGUGAUAUCAAGAGAUGUGAGACAACUAUCCUACAGAGACCAAAUGAUGUUAAUGUAAAAUAGGUUACUGUAUGGGCUUCAACAAUGAGAAAAUCCACUAACAUUAAAAUUUUGCAAUAUUCUGAUUUA